UGUGAAGACUUGCAGCCCGGCAUAUGGUCUGUUUUGUUGAACGUUCCAUGUGCACUUGAGAAAAAUGUCUGUUCUGUUGUUGGGUAGGUUGUUCUCUAAAUGUCACGUAAGUAAGGUGAGUAAGGUGGUUGAUAGUGCUGUUUAGGUUUUAGUGGUUUUCUGCUCUCUUGUUCUAUCACUUCCUGAGACAGGAGUGUUGAAGUUUUCAACCAUUUCUCCAUUCAUUUCUCGCAGCUUUUUCUUUGCUUAUUUUGAAGCUCUAUAGAUUGGUGUAUGUACUUACAGAAUUUUUAAGUCGUUAUGAUGAACGGAUCCUGUAUUAUUAUGAAUUAUCCUUUUUAUCUCUGAUAAUAUUACUUGUGUUGACGUUGACUUUGAUAAUCACAGAGCCACUCCACUCUCUCAUGAUUAGCGAUUGGUUGGAAUACCCUUUUCCUUACACUUACGUUUAACCUAGCUAUGUCUUUUUGUUUGUUUUUGUUUUUUAAGGGACAGGGUUUUGGGCCAGACGUAGUGGCUCACACCUGUAAUCCCAGCACUUUGGGAGGCCAAGGCAGGCGGAUCACCUGAGGUCAGGAGUUUGAGACCAGCCUGGCCAACAUAGUGAAAACUCCAUCUCCACUAAAACUACACAAAAAAAUUAGCUGGAUGUAGUGGCACAUGCCUGUAAUCCCAGCUACUUGGGAGGCUGAGGCAGGAGAAUUGCUUGAACCCAGAAUGUGGAGGUUGCAGUGAGCUGAGAUCACACCAUUGCACACCAGCCUGGGUGGCAAAGCAAGACUGUCUCAAAAAAAAGGAACAGGAUUUUGCUGUGUUGCCCAGGCUGCAGUGCAGUAGCAGGAUGAUAGCUCAUUGCAGCCUUGAGCUCCUGGCCUCCAGUGAUCCUCCCACCGUGGCCUCCCAAAGUGCUGGGAAAACAGGUGUGAGCCACCACCCCCGCCAGCCUCAGUGUCAUGGUGAUGUUCACUUUCAUAGCACGUGUUUCGUGUGUUUUUCCCUAGAAUGGAUGAUGAACUCGUUGUUGGACAUAGUGCGAGAUCAGACAUCUCCAGCUUCCCUUGUACAUCUGGCUUUUAAAUUUCUUUACAUCAUCACCAAGACUUGGGAAACCCGCUACAUGCUUUUGCUAUGGCUCUCUGUGACCUGCCUGAUUCCUUUUGAUUUUUCUCACCUUGACGUGAACCUCGUCACCCAGCCUGGGCAAACACGAAUGUCCAUAAUGGACCGUAUUCUCCAAAUAGCAGAGUCCUACUUGGUUGUUGGUGACAAGGCCCGAGAUGGAGCGGCCGUCCUCGUGUCCAGGUAAGUUUCUGUGGUGCAUUUCUUGGUGUGUGGCUGCUGGUGGGUUCUGAGACAGGUUUGUUUGGGUGCUGUUCAGUGUUUUAUGCGUGUCUUUAGUCCUCAGACAAAGGACCUAGGGUAGUCUUUGGACUCCUCAGACUCUGGCUUUCUCUGAGGGAGCGUGCAGCACUGUUUGGGCACAGAAGACCUCUGACCCUGAAAUGACCACCCUCAGUGCUGGUUUGGGGUGCUGGUGGGGGUCACCUGACAGGUCUGUCGAUGGGAGUGCAGGUCUAGAAGAGGUGUGGCCAUCUUCCCUGGGACACAGCCCUGGCACAGGGAUGGGGUGGCAGUUACGAGAAACAGCUUGCACCGUCUCCCGUGGAGGUGAUAGGUGGUGGCUGGGCCACUGUGACUGGGGAUGAAAAUCCCCCAACGUCCUGUGUUAACUGCACCCCACGUGUGCUACAGACGGGAAGGCGGUUUUCUCUGGGGAGCUCAGCGGGCCUGCAGUGUUGGAAGGGUGCCGAGAGUAUGUGUAUAGGCUGAGCGAACCUGUUUCAUGAGGGGCAAGAGGGAAGAAGGCAAUUUUUCUAAAUCAGUACUUUACCUGGCACGUGAUUUUAAGUAUGUAUGUAGUUUACUAAGUCAGAAAAUGUGGCAUUUUCCCCCGUAUGAUGGUGAAAGGCGGAGGCUGGUCGUAAAACCUUUCGGUGGCUGUGAUGGGGAAGAUGGUC
rnacentral:lncRNA from 1 species